AUUGAACGCUGGCGGCAUGCCUAACACAUGCAAGUCGAGCGGAGCGGCGGACGCGAGAGGAAUGGUUAGGAAUCUGCCAGGUACUGGGGGAUAACGUACAGAAAUGGGAGCCGAUACCGCAUACUUUCAGAUGAGCCUAGUGGGGUAUAGUUAGGUGGGGGGGUAAAGGCCUACCUGGGCGACGAUCCGUAACGCGUCUGGGAGGAUGAUCAGUCACACUGGAACUUGGACACGGUCCAGACUCCUACGGGAGGCAGCAGUGGGGAAUAUUGGACAAUGGGCGAAAGCCUGAUCCAGCCAUGCCGCGUGUGUGAAGAAGGUCUUCGGAUUGUAAAGCCCGUUUAGUUGGGGGGCGUUACCAGCAGAAUAAGCACCGGCUAACUUCGUGCCAGCAGCCGCGGUAAUUC
rnacentral:rRNA from 1 species